rnacentral:rRNA from 1 species
CCCCCCUUUUACACGGACCAAGGAGUCUAACAUGUACGCGAGUCAUUGGGACAAGCAUGCCUAAAAGGCGAAAUGAAAGUGAAGGUCGACCUAUAACGCCGACCGAGGGAGGAUGGGCCGCGUUACGAUGCGGCUUCGCACUCCCGGGGCGUCUCGUUCUCAUUGCGAGAAGAGGCGCACCCAGAGCGUACACGUUGGGACCCGAAAGAUGGUGAACUAUGCCUGGUCAGGACGAAGUCAGGGGAAACCCUGAUGGAGGUCCGUAGCGAUUCUGACGUGCAAAUCGAUCGUCGGAACUGGGUAUAGGGGCGAAAGACUAAUCGAACCAUCUAG